rnacentral:sRNA from 1 species
UGUCAAAAUCUCAAAAACAUUCGUCAGUUUUCGCCUUUCGUCUGUCCCAUACGCAUCAAAAUUUUAGUUAAAGUCCCUAAAAGUUUCUUCUUAAACCAAUUUCAAUAAAUUCAAAUAUUCUUCAAUGUGCUGCCCUCCAUCCUGUUCACCGUGCUGUUACCCCGCAUGCUGCAAACCCUAUGGAAAAUGUGGACCACAUGGACCUUGUAACCCCCGUUGUGGUCCCUGCCGACCUUGCUGUGCUCCUGCAUGCGGUCCCAUGGAACCCCGAAAUGGACUUCAGAAGUGCUCGCCUUAUGGUUUGGCCACUGGCGGAUUUUGCUGUUGAUACUUCAAUGCGAUGGACGAAUAUAUGGAUUGAACCCUACACCACUGAACUGAAAAGAACUUUAGGGACUUAAUAUACAUAUACCGGUAUCAUUUCAUCCCAUAAUAAAAUUGUAGCGUCACAUUAAA